AUUGAACGCUGGCGGCAUGCCUUACACAUGCAAGUCGAACGGUAACAGGUCUUCGGAUGCUGACGAGUGGCGCACGGGUGAGUAAUACAUCGGAACGUGCCCGAUCGUGGGGGAUAACGAGGCGAAAGCUUUGCUAAUACCGCAUACGAUCUACGGAUGAAAGCGGGGGAUCUUCGGACCUCGCGCGGACGGAGCGGCCGAUGGCAGAUUAGGUAGUUGGUGGGGUAAAAGCUUACCAAGCCGACGAUCUGUAGCUGGUCUGAGAGGAUGAUCAGCCACACUGGGACUGAGACACGGCCCAGACUCCUACGGGAGGCAGCAGUGGGGAAUUUUGGACAAUGGGCGAAAGCCUGAUCCAGCCAUGCCGCGUGCAGGAUGAAGGCCUUCGGGUUGUAAACUGCUUUUGUACGGAACGAAAAGCCUCUUUCUAAUAAAGAGAGGUCAUGACGGUACCGUAAGAAUAAGCACCGGCUAACUACGUG
rnacentral:rRNA from 1 species